rnacentral:misc_RNA from 1 species
GGCGAUACUCGUGCAUUACCCAAUCAGUCCUAAUCCCUUGAGGAGCUCUGCCUCUGUAGUACACUAAUGUCUUCUUCAUUCCAAUGGCUCUGCUCUGAAAGGUUACCCUUCUGUCUUUUCCUGUGGACUUCCAGUAUCCUGCUCUUGUUGCUCUAUUUGUUCUGAAUCCAUUUGGAUAUUUUCUGUCCCUUGGUCCAAAAAAGUACCACUCAGGGUCUCUACUCGGAAGAAAUGAUUUUUCUGCUAACUCCCAGGGUUCACAUUUGUAGAGAUCAACCUCAGGAAUGAUGUCAAGUUCAAUUUCCUGGCCAUUAAUUUUCCUCUUGAGAUAAUAAUUGACGAGCUCUUCGUCGGUCGGAUGGAAUCUAAAGCCAGGAGGCAAUCCGACGGGGGCCAUGGUUUC